AGAAUCUGCCUGCAGUGAAGGAGACUCGAGUUCGAUCCCUGGUUUGGGAAGAUCCCCUGGAGAGGGAAAUGGCAACCCCCUCUAGUUUUCUUGCCUGGGAAAUCCCAUGGACAGAGGAGCCUGGUGGGCUACAGUCUAUGGAGUCGAAAAGAACUGGACAUGACUUAGCGACUCAACAACAAUAUUAAACUUUCACCACGUGACAUGUAUUUAUUUACUCUCUCCCCACCCCCAAGAGAGCAUAUGUGUCAUUAGAGUGGGGAUGUUGUCUGUCUCUUCACUGCUGUAUCCCCAGCAUCAAGGAAGGUGCCAGGCCCACAGUAAGUGCUUAGUCUGGUAAUUGUUCAGAGCCUGUGAAGGGAGGCUCUUCAUUCAGCAGACACCUAUGCUCUGAAGGGCUCAUCAGGACAUGCUAGUGGGAUGGAAUCUUCCUCCUCCUGGCUCGUGCUCACCCAUUCAUGCUGCCCAGACACUCACUAGCAUCUGAGGAUCACUCCAGAAUUAUGUUCAGGCUGGAGAAGAGACAAAUCAAGGGUUUCAGUAGGCAUCUUGUCACCUCUGCACGGUGCCAUGGACUGAAGCAGGAGGCCUGAACCAAUAAUAAGCCUGUGAUGAAGAACUUUGAGUAGAGAAGAUGCUGAGCACCCUGUCACUGGAGCUAGGUAAGGAAGGGUGUGUGGCAGAGUCCUUCUUCACAGGGGGCUGGGCCAGCUGGCCUUCAAGGUCCUCUCCAACUCUGAAAAAGGCUGAUUUUGUGAAGCUGUCUUCUCACUGUCCACACUUGUCUCCUUUUGUCACUGACUCUGAGAAGCCAACACGUCUGUCACUGACCUUGAAACAGCAUUGCCGUUGUCUCAGACAUGAAAACUGACAUUGGAAAUUGACUUCCCUUGGUUCAUUUGAGGUGCAUUUGCCUUGGAAUCCCAGCAACACCUCCUGCCUGAGGUUGGGGUGAGGGGAGGAGAGUGGAAAGACUGCUUCCUGACAUCUCUUAGAGGCUGGUGGCACUGACUGCUUGCUGGAGAUGGAAGGUGGGCACCUGAUUCCCCUCAAUGCUGCCAAAGUGAUCCUGAAAAACACACAACUCACCUUGGCUCCCUCCUGCUCAUGUUUCUGCAGGGGCUUCCCACUGUUGGCUGGAUAAAGUCCAAACUUCCAUAUUUGGCACUGAGGCCCCCUUAAGGCAAGGCCUCUGCCUAACUUACCAGCCUCAUCUUUCCCGGAAGCACUGUGAUCUCGUCAUACUGGGUGACUCAUAAU
ensembl:lncRNA